rnacentral:lncRNA from 10 species
AUUUCCACUACCCCUCAAAAGGAAGGUGUCAAGGCUGCAAGUCAGUUGAGUUCAUUCUUAGAAUUCUGCCUACAACACUCGCACAGAAGAAAUUCCACUUGUGAUGACAGCUUCAGCCCAUGCCCAUGGAGUUCCAUCUUGCCUGUCGUCUUCCCUUCCUGCCUCCCAGUUGGUGAGAACUUUGUCCUGUGCCCACGAUCUUCACUUCCUCACUGUUUUUGGUCUUGGACAUCAGAUCCUAAAUUUGUGUUGGCUAGGAUUCAGCUCCUGCAUCCCGAAGGCCACCUGAAGGAGCAGCCGGCAUCAGCAGAGGCAGAGGGGAGAGGUCAGGCCCCUCUUCUGCAGGGUUGCUGCGGUUUGCUGGGGAUCCACUCCAGAGCCUAUUCACCUGGGUCCCUUCCACCCCUGGAGGUGUUACCAGUGUAUGCUGCAGAACAGCAAAGAUGGUUGCCUGCUCGUUCCUCUGGGAUGUCUAUCCCAGAGGGGCACUGACCUGAUGACAGCUGGAAUGCUCCUGUAUAAGGUGUCUGGUGACCCCUGUUGAAGAGUCUCACUCUGUCAGGAGACAUGGGAUCUGGAACCUGCUUAACAAAGUACUCUGGCUGCCUCUUGGCAGAGAGGGUGCACUCUGCUGGGGUCUUAGAGGAGGUGCACUUGUCCGGACUGCUGGGAUUCCUCCGAGCCAGCAGGGGAAACACUAAAUCUGCUGAUCAACGGAGACUGCAGCUGCCCCUCCCCAAAGGGGCUCAGUCCCAGGGAGAUGAGAGUUCUGCCCCUAAACCCCUGGCUGCAGUUGCUGAAGUUCUUGCAGGGAGGCCCCACCUGGUGAGGGGGGAUGGGUCAGGGUCCAGCCUAAAGAGGCAGUCUGGCCAUGAUCUGCCACAGCCACUGAGCUGCGCUGUGGGGAAUGCCUCCUGUGUCUAAACCGUUUAGUCUGCCUGGCACCUGAGUUGUGAAUGCAGGAUUCACUUGCUGUUUUUGUUCUUCUCCAUGGGAGCCUCCGACCGCAGCUGUUUUCAGUUGGCCAUGUGGGCCCCUCCCUAUGAAAUAAUUUAAAUAGCAUUAAGAGUCAAACCGAACUUGUCUGGGAGUAUUUUACAGUCAUUUAGCCAACUCACAUUUAUUAGGCACCU